rnacentral:rRNA from 1 species
UACGGGGGGGGCAAGCGUUGUUCGGAAUUACUGGGCGUAAAGGGUCUGUAGGUGGCCAACUAAGGCAGACGUGAAAUCCCUCAGCUUAACUGGGGAACUGCAUCCGAUACUGGAUGGCUUGAAUCCGGGAGAGGGAUGCAGAAUUCCAGGUGUAGCGGUGAAAUGCGUAGAUAUCUGGAGGAAUACCGGUGGCGAAGGCGGCAUCCUGGACCGGCAUUGACGCUGAGUGAGCGAAAGCCAGGGGAGCGAACGGG